rnacentral:rRNA from 1 species
AUUGAACGCUGGCGGCAGGCCUAACACAUGCCAGUCGAACGGUAACAGGAAACAGCUUGCUGUUUCGCUGACGAGUGGCGGACGGGUGAGUAAUGUCUGGGAAACUGCCUGAUGGAGGGGGAUAACUACUGGAAACGGUAGCUAAUACCGCAUAACGUCGCAAGACCAAAGAGGGGGACCUUCGGGCCUCUUGCCAUCGGAUGUGCCCAGAUGGGAUUAGCUAGUAGGUGGGGUAACGGCUCACCUAGGCGACGAUCCCUAGCUGGUCUGAGAGGAUGACCAGCCACCCGUGAGCUGAGACACGGGCCAGACUCCUGCGGGAGGCAGCAGUGGGGAAUAUUGCACAAUGGGCGCAGGCCUGAUGCAGCCAUGCCGCGUGUAUGAAGAAGGCCUUCGGGUUGUAAAGUACUUUCAGCGGGGAUGAAGGGAGUAAAGUUAAUACCUUUGCUCAUUGACGUUACCCGCAGAAGAAGCACCGGCUAACUCCGUG